rnacentral:rRNA from 1 species
UGGGGAAUCAUGGUCAAUGGGCGAAAGCCUGAACCUGCGACGCCGCGUGAGUGAUGAAGGUCGUAAGAUCGUAAAACUCUUUUCAGGGAUCUUAAAGCACAGCUGUCAACAACAGCUGUGUGUGACUCUCCCUGGAAGAAGCCCCAGCCAACUACGUGCCAGCAGCUGCGGUAAUACGUAGGGGGCGGGCGUUAUUCGGAAUUACUGGGUGUAAAGGGUAUGUAGGCGGCCCGUCAAGUCGGGUGGCAAAGCCCAGUGCUCAACGCUGG